rnacentral:misc_RNA from 1 species
GAUGAAGAACGCAGCAAAAUGCGAUACUUGGUGUGAAUUGCAGAAUCCCGUGAACCAUCGAGUUUUUGAACGCAAGUUGCGCCCGAAGCCUUUUGGCCGAGGGCACGUCUGCCUGGGCGUCACGCAUCGCGUCGCCCCCCACAAUUCUCCGUAAAGGGAACAUGUGUUUUGGGGGCGGAUAUUGGUCUCCCGUGCUCAUGGCGUGGUUGGCCGAAAUAGGAGUCCUUUCGAUGGACGCACGAACUAGUGGUGGUCGUAAAAACCCUCGUCUUUUGUUUCGUGCUGUUGCUCGCAAGGUAAACUCUUUAAAAACCCCAAUGUGUCGUCUCUUGACGACGCUUCGACCGCGACACCAGGUCAGGCGGGACUACCCGCUGAGUUUAAGCAUAUCAAUAAGCGGAGGA